AUGACGGAGAUAUCAGGCCUCACCGCCGACAAGUUCCACGAGGAUAACAAGUUGUGGAUAGAGAGAGAGCAGAGUACUAUCCCGCCGCUGGCCAAGGGGCGAUACAGGAACGUGAUGGACAUGAUGCCUGCAGGAUCUGCCCGUGACGCCCUCGGUGUCAUCUACGAGCGGUGGUUCAUCGAAACGUACCAUGACUGGUGUGAGAUAACAUUCAUCCUCCUGGAGAUGGACUGGGUUCUAAUGCCCGGAGGGAGGGUGAUCUUCAGGGUUACCGUGCAGAUGUGCUAG
rnacentral:rRNA from 1 species